rnacentral:rRNA from 1 species
UUGCUUGUUGGGGUUGUAGGACACUCUAUACGGAGUUACAAAGGACGACAUUAGACGAAUCAUCUGGAAAGAUGAAUCAAAGAAGGUAAUAAUCCUGUAGUCGAAAAUGUUGUCUCUCUUGAGUGGAUCCUGAGUACGACGGAGCACGUGAAAUUCCGUCGGAAUCUGGGAGGACCAUCUCCUAAGGCUAAAUACUCUCUAGUGACCGAUAGUGAACCAGUACCGUGAGGGAAAGGUGAAAAGCACCCCGGAAGGGGAGUGAAAUAGAACCUGAAACCGUGUGCUUACAAGUAGUCAGAGCCCGUUAAUGGGUGAUGGCGUGCCUUUUGUAGAAUGAACCGGCGAGUUACGAUUUGAUGCAAGGUUAAGCAGUAAAUGUGGAGCCGUAGCGAAAGCGAGUCUGAAUAGGGCGUUUAGUAUUUGGUCGUAGACCCGAAACCAGGUGAUCUACCCUUGGUCAGGUUGAAGUUCAGGUAACACUGAAUGGAGGACCGAACCGACUUACGUUGAAAAGUGAGCGGAUGAACUGAGGGUAGCGGAGAAAUUCCAAUCGAACCUGGAGAUAGCUGGUUCUCUCCGAAAUAGCUUUAGGGCUAGCCUCAAGUGAUGAUUAUUGGAGGUAGAGCACUGUUUGGACGAGGGGCCCCUCUCGGGUUACCGAAUUCAGACAAACUCCGAAUGCCAAUUAAUUUAACUUGGGAGUCAGAACAUGGGUGAUAAGGUCCGUGUUCGAAAGGGAAACAGCCCAGACCACCAGCUAAGGUCCCAAAAUAUAUGUUAAGUGGAAAAGGAUGUGGCGUUGCCCAGACAACUAGGAUGUUGGCUUAGAAGCAGCCAUCAUUUAAAGAGUGCGUAAUAGCUCACUAGUCGAGUGACACUGCGCCGAAAAUGUACCGGGGCUAAACAUAUUACCGAAGCUGUGGAUUGUCCUUUGGACAAUGGUAGGAGAGCGUUCUAAGGGCGUUGAAGCAU